AACGAACGCUGGCGGCAUGCCUAACACAUGCAAGUCGAACGAGACCUUCGGGUCUAGUGGCGCACGGGUGCGUAACGCGUGGGAACCUGCCCUUAGGUUCGGAAUAACUCCCCGAAAGGGGUGCUAAUACCGGAUAAUGUCUUCGGACCAAAGAUUUAUCGCCUUUGGAUGGGCCCGCGUUGGAUUAGCUAGUUGGUAGGGUAAAAGCCUACCAAGGCGACGAUCCAUAGCUGGUCUGAGAGGAUGAUCAGCCACACUGGGACUGAGACACGGCCCAGACUCCUACGGGAGGCAGCAGUGGGGAAUAUUGGACAAUGGGCGAAAGCCUGAUCCAGCAAUGCCGCGUGAGUGAUGAAGGCCUUAGGGUUGUAAAACUCUUUUACCCGGGAUGAUAAUGACAGUACCGGGAGAAUAAGCUCCGGCUAACUCCAUG
rnacentral:rRNA from 1 species